GUUGUUGGGUAGGGGAGCGUUCUGUAAGCCUGCGAAGGUGACCUGUGAGGGUUGCUGGAGGUAUCAGAAGUGCGAAUGCUGACAUAAGUAACGAUAAAGCGGGUGAAAAGCCCGCUCGCCGGAAGACCAAGGGUUCCUGUCCAACGUUAAUCGGGGCAGGGUGAGUCGACCCCUAAGGCGAGGCCGAAAGGCGUAGUCGAUGGGAAACAGGUUAAUAUUCCUGUACUUGGUGUUACUGCGAAGGGGGGACGGAGAAGGCUAUGUUAGCCGGGCGACGGUUGUCCCGGUUUAAGCAUGUAGGCGGAGGUUCCAGGUAAAUCCGGUACCUUAUUAACGCUGAGGUGUGAUGACGAGGCACUACGGUGCUGAAGUAACAAAUGCCCUGCUUCCAGGAAAAGCCUCUAAGCAUCAGGUAACAUUAAAUCGUACCCCAAACCGACACAGGUGGUCAGGUAGAGAAUACCAAGGCGCUUGAGAGAACUCGGGUGAAGGAACUAGGCAAAAUGGUGCCGUAACUUCGGGAGAAGGCACGCUGGUGUGUAGGUGAAGUCCCUGCGGAUGGAGCUGAGACCAGUCGAAGAUACCAGCUGGCUGCAACUGUUUAUUAAAAACACAGCACUGUGCAAACACGAAAGUGGACGUAUACGGUGAUGACGC
rnacentral:rRNA from 1 species